CUAAGUUCAGUUCUUACAAUCUCAUGUAUCCCAGGUAUGAUACAUGACUUUUUUGUUGCAAAUUUUAAAAAACUACCGUGGAAUGGGAGUUCCAGGGUUCUCAACUGCUGAUUUGCAAGCUCUGCGUGAAAUUUUCUUGUACGAGAUAGCAACAUACCCCAAUAGUGAAGUUCAAUUACCUAUAGUGAGAAACUUCCUACAAAACCAUGUACAACAACUACUACAAGACAAUUCCAACAAGAACUACGACAGUCAAGAGAAUCCACACAAAUGGAUAAAGACAUUAUUUUGAUCCCUUGUAUGACAUUUUCUUCCCG